rnacentral:rRNA from 1 species
AUUGAACGCUGGCGGCAUGCCUUACACAUGCAAGUCGAACGGUAACAGGUCUUCGGAUGCUGACGAGUGGCGAACGGGUGAGUAAUACAUCGGAACGUGCCCAGUAAUGGGGGAUAGCUCGGCGAAAGCCGGAUUAAUACCGCAUACGCCCUGAGGGGGAAAGUGGGGGAUCGCAAGACCUCACGUUAUUGGAGCGGCCGAUGGCUGAUUAGCUAGUUGGUAGGGUAAAGGCCUACCAAGGCGACGAUCAGUAGCUGGUCUGAGAGGACGAUCAGCCACACUGGGACUGAGACACGGCCCAGACUCCUACGGGAGGCAGCAGUGGGGAAUUUUGGACAAUGGGGGAAACCCUGAUCCAGCAAUGCCGCGUGUGCGAAGAAGGCCUUCGGGUUGUAAAGCACUUUUGUCAGGGAAGAAAUCCUUUGGGCUAAUACCCUAGGGGGAUGACGGUACCUGAAGAAUAAGCACCGGCUAACUACGUGCCAGCAGCCGCGGUAAUACGUAGGGUGCAAGCGUUAAUCGGAAUUACUGGGCGUAAAGCGUGCGCAGGCGGUUGUGUAAGACAGGUGUGAAAUCCCCGGGCUUAACCUGGGAAUUGCAUUUGUGACUGCACGACUAGAGUGUGUCAGAGGGGGGUGGAAUUCCACGUGUAGCAGUGAAAUGCGUAGAUAUGUGGAGGAACACCAAUGGGCGAAGGCAGCCCCCUGGGAUAACACUGACGCUCAUGCACGAAAGCGUGGGGAGCAAACAGGA